GAUGAACGCUAGCGGCAGGCCUAAUACAUGCAAGUCGAACGAGAUUAAGAGGCUUGCUUCUUAUGAAAGUGGCGCACGGGUGCGUAACGCGUAUGCAACCUACCUUAAUCAGGGGGAUAGCCCGAAGAAAUUCGGAUUAAGACCGCAUAAAAACACAGGAUAGCAUUAUCCAAUGUUCAAAUAUUUAUAGGAUUAAGAUGGGCAUGCGUGUCAUUAGCUAGUUGGCGGGGUAACGGCCCACCAAGGCGACGAUGACUAGGGGAUCUGAGAGGAUGACCCCCCACACUGGUACUGAGACGCGGACCAGACUCCUACGGGAGGCAGCAGUAAGGAAUAUUGGUCAAUGGAGGGAACUCUGAACCAGCCAUGCCGCGUGCAGGAAGACAGCCCUCUGGGUCGUAAACUGCUUUUAUUCGGGAAUAAACCUUUCUACGUGUAGGAAGCUGAAUGUACCGAAGGAAUAAGGAUCGGCUAACUCCGUG
rnacentral:rRNA from 1 species